AUGCUCAUUUUAGCAGCACAUACACUAAAGUUGGAAUGACACAGAGAUCAGCAUGGCCCCUGCUCAAGGAGGACACACAAAUUCAUGAGAUGAACCAUAUUUAG
rnacentral:snRNA from 1 species